rnacentral:rRNA from 1 species
GACGAACGCUGGCGGCGUGCUUAACACAUGCAAGUCGAGCGAUGAAGCUACUUCGGUAGUGAAGUAGCGGCGAACGGGUGAGGAACACGUGAGGAAUCUGCCUUCAACACUGGGAUAACUCCGGGAAACCGGGGCUAAUACCGGAUACGAGCUCUGACCGCAUGGUCGGGGCUGGAAAGUUUUUCGGUUGAAGAUGACCGCGCGGCCUAUCAGCUUGUUGGUGAGGUAAUGGCUCACCAAGGCGACGACGGGUAGCCGGCCUGAGAGGGCGACCGGCCACACUGGGACUGAGACACGGCCCAGACUCUUACGGGGGGCAGCAGUGGGGAAUAUUGGGCAAUGGAGGAAACUCUGACCCAGCGACGCCGCGUGCGGGAUGAAGGCCUUCGGGUUGUAAACCGCUUUCAGUAGGGAAGAAGCGAAAGUGACGGUACCUACAGAGGAAGCACCGGCUAACUAUGUGCCAGCCGCCGCAGUAA